UACGUAGGGUGCAAGCGUUGUCCGGAAUCAUUGGGCGUAAAGCGCGUGUAGGCGGCCCGGUAAGUCCGCUGUGAAAGUCGGGGGCUCAACCCUCGAAAGCCGGUGGAUACUGUCGGGCUAGAGUACGGAAGAGGCGAGUGGAAUUCCUGGUGUAGCGGUGAAAUGCGCAGAUAUCAGGAGGAACACCAAUUGCGAAGGCAGCUCGCUGGGACGUUACUGACGCUGAGACGCGAAAGCGUGGGGAGCAAACAGG
rnacentral:rRNA from 1 species